CUUUUACAUUAAAUAUUUUGUUUUUGCUAUCAAAAGUAAAUUAACUAAUAACCUGCAUUAUUGCAGGACACUCAGCAAAAUAUGGACUCUACACCAUGAGGCAGGCACACGUUAAUAACUCUAUAAGAGCACAUAAGCCUGGCUGAUCACCUGAUAACUCCUGUCAUCUGGUUAUGACAGCAUGAGGAUGUCCUCACACACCUGUAACCUAUCAGCUCAUCUGGCAGAAUAGAGAGAGAAGAGACAACACCACAUCUCCUGUUCCUGGAAAGCCUUCAGCCAUCCUUCGAUGACUGAGAACCUCCAUCAGCUCUGUCUCCUGUCUGCCCACAGUUAUUAUAAUAAAUAUUGUGUUUGACAAGUU